rnacentral:rRNA from 1 species
UACAGAGGUCCCAAGCGUUGUCCGGAUUUAUUGGGCGUAAAGAGCGUGUAGGCGGCCAGGUAGGUCUGGUGUGAAAACUCGAGGCUUAACCUCGAGAUGUCAUCGGAAACCAUCUGGCUAGAGUCCGGAAGAGGAGAGUGGAAUUCCUGGUGUAGCGGUGAAAUGCGCAGAUAUCAGGAGGAACACCGGUGGCGAAGGCGGGUCUCUGGGCCGAUAUUGACGCUGAGGAGCGAAAGCGUGGGGAGCGAACAGG